rnacentral:rRNA from 1 species
AGAUUGAACGCUGGCGGCAUGCCUUACACAUGCAAGUCGAACGGCAGCACGGGAGCAAUCCUGGUGGCGAGUGGCGAACGGGUGAGUAAUAUAUCGGAACGUGCCCAGUCGUGGGGGAUAACGCAGCGAAAGCUGUGCUAAUACCGCAUACGAUCUAUGGAUGAAAGCGGGGGAUCGCAAGACCUCGCGUGAUUGGAGCGGCCGAUAUCAGAUUAGCUAGUUGGUGGGGUAAAAGCCUACCAAGGCGACGAUCUGUAGCUGGUCUGAGAGGACGAACCAGCCACACUGGAACUGAGACACGGUCCAGACUCCUAGGGAGCAGCAGUGGGUAAUUUGGACAAGU